UACGGAGGGUGCAAGCGUUAUCCGGAUUCACUGGGUUUAAAGGGUGCGCAGGCGGCCAAGUGUGUGAGGCGUGAAAGCCUGGGGCUUAACUCCAGAAUUGCACCUCAAACUACAUGGCUAGAGCAUUGGAGAGGGUAGCAGAAUUCACGGUGUAGCAGUGAAAUGCGUAGAUAUCGUGAGGAAUACCAGAGGCGAAGGCGGCUACCUGGACAAUUGCUGACGCUCAGGCACGAAAGCGUGGGGAGCAAAAGGG
rnacentral:rRNA from 1 species